GCCCUACGGGGUGCAGCAGGCGCGAAAACUUUACAAUGCUGGCAACAGCGAUAAGGGAACCUCGAGUGCCAGGUUACAAAUCUGGCUGUCGAGAUGCCUAAAAAGCAUUUCAUAGCAAGGGCCGGGCAAGACCGGUGCCAGCCGCCGCGGUAACACCGGCGGCUCGAGUGGUAACCGUUAUUAUUGGGUCUAAAGGGUCUGUAGCCGGCCGGAUAAGUCUCUUGAGAAAUCUGGCAGCUUAACUGUCAGGCUUUCAGGAGAUACUGUCUGGCUCGAGGCCGGGAGAGGUGAGAGGUACUUCAGGGGUAGGGGUGAAAUCUUGUAAUCCUUGAAGGACCACCAGUGGCGAAGGCGCCUCACCAGAACGGCUUCGACAGUGAGGGACGAAAGCUGGGGGAGCAAACCGGAUUAGAUACCCGGGUAGUCCCAGCCGUAAACUAUGCGCGUUAGGUGUAUCGGUGACCACGAGUUACCGAGGUGCCGAAGGGAAACCGUGAAACGUGCCGCCUGGGAAGUACGGUCGCAAGGCUGAAACUUAAAGGAAUUGGCGGGGGAGCACCACAACAGGUGGAGCCUGCGGUGUAAUUGGA
rnacentral:rRNA from 1 species